rnacentral:rRNA from 1 species
AUUGCACGCUGGCGGCAGGCCUAACACAUGCAAGUCGAGCGAGCGGCGGAAGGGUGAGUAAUGUAUGGGGAGCUGCCUGAGGGAGGGGGAUAACUACUGGAAAAGGUAGCUAAUACCGCAUACCAUCAGAUGACCCCAUAUGGGAUUAGCUAGUAGUGGCGGUAACGGCUCAACUAGGCGACGAGCCAGAGCUGGUCUGAGAGGAUGAUCAGCCACACUGGGACUGAGACACGGUCCAGACUCCUACGGGAGGCAGCAGUGGGGAAUAUUGCACAAUGGGCGAAAGCCUGAUGCAGCCAUGCCGCGUGUAUGAAGAAGGCCUUCGGGUUGUAAAGUACUUUCAGUCGGGAGGCGUUACCGACAGAAGAAGCACCGGCUAACUCCGUGCCAGCAGCCGCGAUAAUAC